UGUGAGGCUAGUGUGUAGGCAAAUCCGCACACUAUUAGGCUGGGCUGUGAUGGGGAGCGAAAAUUGUAGUAGCGAAGGUCAUGUACUCCGGCUGUCAAGAAAAGCCUCUAGUGAGAUCUAGGUGCCCGUACCGCAAACCGACACAGGUAGGCGAGCAGAGCAUGCUAAGGCGCGCGGAAGAACUCUCGUUAAGGAACUCGGCAAAAUGACCCCGUAACUUCGGGAGAAGGGGUGCCUCGGUAGGGUUUAUAGCCCGAGGGGGCCGCAGUGAAAAGGCCCAAGCGACUGUUUAGCAAAAACACAGGUCUGUGCGAAGCCGUAAGGCGAAGUAUACGGGCUGACGCCUGCCCGGUGCUGGAAGGUUAAGGGGAGCGGUUAGGGGUAACCCGAAGCUGUGAACCGAAGCCCCAGUAAACGGCGGCCGUAACUAUAACGGUCCUAAGGUAGCGAAAUUCCUUGUCAGGUAAAUUCUGACCCGCACGAAUGGCGUAACGACUUGGGCGCUGUCUCAACGAGAGAUCCGGUGAAAUUUUAAUACCUGUGAAGAUGCAGGUUACCCGCGACAAGACGGAAAGACCCCAUGGAGCUUUACUGUAACUUGAUGUUGGACUUUGGUACGAUCUGUACAGGAUAGGUGGGAGCCUUUGAAGCAUGAGCGCCAGCUUGUGUGGAGGCAUCGUUGGGAUACCACCCUGAUCGUAUCGGAGUUCUAACCUGCUGCCGUGAAACCGGCAGAGGGACCGUGUCAGGUGGACAGUUUGACUGGGGCGGUCGCCUCCUAAAAUGUAACGGAGGCGCCCAAAGGUUCCCUCAGAAUGGUUGGAAAUCAUUCGAAGAGUGCAAAGGCAUAAGGGAGCUUGACUGCGAGACCUACAAGUCGAGCAGGGACGAAAGUCGGGCUUAGUGAUCCGGUGGUACCGAAUGGAAGGGCCAUCGCUCAACGGAUAAAAGCUACCCUGGGGAUAACAGGCUUAUCUCCCCCAAGAGUCCACAUCGACGGGGAGGUUUGGCACCUCGAUGUCGGCUCAUCGCAUCCUGGGGCUGAAGUAGGUCCCAAGGGUUGGGCUGUUCGCCCAUUAAAGCGGUACGCGAGCUGGGUUCAGAACGUCGUGAGACAGUUCGGUCCCUAUCUGUCGCGGGCGCAGGAAAUUUGAGAGGAGCUGUCCUUAGUACGAGAGGACCGGGAUGGACGUACCGCUGGUGUACCAGUUGUUCCGCCAGGAGCACCGCUGGGUAGCCAAGUACGGACGGGAUAAGCGCUGAAAGCAUCUAAGCGUGAAGCCCCCCUCAAGAUGAGAUUUCCCAGUAUGUAAGACCCCUUGAAGACGACGAGGUUGAUAGGUUCGGGGUGGAAGCACAGCAAUGUGUGUAGCUGACGAAUACUAAUCGGUCGAGGGCUUAUCCAA
rnacentral:rRNA from 1 species